UACGUAGGGUGCAAGCGUUAAUCGGAAUUACUGGGCGUAAAGCGCGCGCAGGCGGAUCAGCAAGUCAGAUGUGAAAUCUCGGGGCUCAACCCCGAAACUGCGUCUGAAACUGCUAGUCUAGAAUGUCGGAGGGGGCAGGGGAAUUUCACGUGUAGGGGUAAAAUCCGUAGAGAUGUGAAGGAACACCGGAGGCGAAGGCGCCUGCCUGGACGACUAUUGACGCUGAGGCGCGGAAAGCGUGGGGAGCAAACAGG
rnacentral:rRNA from 1 species